rnacentral:rRNA from 1 species
AGUGAAUGCUGGCGGCGUGCUUAACACAUGCAAGUCGAACGAGAACGGAAUAUAGCUUGCUAUAUUUGUCAGCUAAGUGGCGCACGGGUGAGUAAUGUAUAGAUAACCUGCCCUUAAGAAAGGAAUAACAGUUGGAAACGACUGCUAAUGCCCUAUAUGCCUUUAAUACAUAAGUAUGCAAGGGAAACGCUUUAGUGCUUAAGGAUGGGUCUGUAUGGUAUCAGCUUGUUGGUGAGGUAAUGGCUCACCAAGGCUAUGACGCCUAACUGGUUUGGGAGGAUGAUCAGUCACACUGGAACUGAGACACGGUCCAGACUCCUACGGGAGGCAGCAGUGGGGAAUAUUGCACAAUGGACGAAAGUCUGAUGCAGCAACGCCGCGCGGAGGAUGACACAUUUCGGUGCGUAAACUCCUUUUAUAUAGGAAGAUAAUGACGGUACUAUAUGAAUAAGCACCGGCUAACUCCGUGCCAGCCGCCGCCGUAC